CGAGGGGAAAGUCUCCGGAUGCCAAGAGUCACAAAGGGCCGAACAGGGAUCAAGAUGAACACACUGCAGACGAGGACACGAGCCCCACAGGAGCUCUUUGUCCCGCCGGAGACCAGCGGACCCACGUCAGAGAAGAUGCUUGUAUCUUUUCACGGCUCUUCUCUGAGAAAUGAAGCCACACCACAAUACGGUCUGGAAGAGGAAGCCGGGAAUGGGAGAUGGCAACAGUCCCUGUCACUGGAAUGCUGGCCUCUCUGGACAAGCCACCCUUUUGGAACCCCAUCCCUUAUGACCCUGGCAGUGGAACGGUGAUAUAUCCCGCCUGGCCGCCGGCGUCUGCCCUGUCCUCCCUCCUGCUCUGCCUCACCUGUUUCUCAAGUGCCUCAAUGCCUCUCGCUGACGCCCAAUGUCUUCAACAAAGAUGACUUCCCAGUCCGUCAGGGAGACAUUUCUUCG
rnacentral:lncRNA from 1 species